rnacentral:rRNA from 1 species
GACGAAGGAUGCAAGCGUUAUCCGGAUUCAUUGGGUUUAAAGGGAGCGUAGGUGGCCUUAUAAGUCAGUGGUGAAAUCUCUGGGCUUAACCCAGAAAUUGCCAUUGAUACUGUAGGGCUUGAGUAUAGAUGCCGUUGGCGGAAUAUGACAUGUAGUGGUGAAAUACAUAGAGAUGUCAUAGAACACCGAUUGCGAAGGCAGCUAACGAAACUAUAACUGACGCUGAGGCACGAAAGUGCGGGGAUCAAACAGG